GGGGAAUAUUGGACAAUGGGCGAAAGCCUGAUCCAGCCAUGCCGCGUGUGUGAAGAAGGUCUUCGGAUUGUAAAGCACUUUAAGUUGGGAGGAAGGGCAGUAAGUUAAUACCUUGCUGUUUUGACGUUACCAACAGAAUAAGCACCGGCUAACUUCGUGCCAGCAGCCGCGGUAAUACGAAGGGUGCAAGCGUUAAUCGGAAUUACUGGGCGUAAAGCGCGCGUAGGCGGCUUUGCAAGUCGGGUGUGAAAUCCCUGGGCUUAACCUAGGAACUGCACUCGAGACUGCAUUGCUAGAGUAUGGUAGAGGGAAGUGGAAUUUCCGGUGUAGCGGUGAAAUGCGUAGAUAUCGGAAGGAACACCAGUGGCGAAAGCGACUUCCUGGACCAAUACUGACGCUCAGGCGCGAAAGCGUGGGGAGCAAACA
rnacentral:rRNA from 1 species